rnacentral:lncRNA from 1 species
AUAUAAUUAAUCCAAAAUUCAUCACAAUUCGAUCUAACUAUUUAAUGCAUAUAAUAUCAACUUAUCGCUUGGCUCUGAUACCAAUUGAUAGAAUUUCAAGGUAUGUAAAAUAAAUAGAAAAUAAAUACAUACCAAGAUUCAGGAUCAUAAUAAAAUAAAACAACUCACAGAACGCCACAGAGAAGAAAUUCUUGAUCAAUCUUGCGGAAGCAUGAAGUCCGGCUAUGAUCUGAAAGUCACGAACUGAACUUGGGUGAUUUGGUUUCUCCUCCUAUCUCAGGCACUCUGCCGUAUGGUGUGGAACCGAUGGUAAUUCUUCACCAGAAUGCGUAUGAGAAGGUGGCAGGACCAAUACCCCGUUAUAUAGAGUCCAGAUCGACUUCCCAUCAAAGUCUGAUUAGGAUUCUAUUUAAACUUUGAAAUAGAUGGGAUAGGGAUAAAAUAUACCAUAUCAAGUAGUUCUAUAUCUGUUAGGAUUGGCCUUUAUCUAUAGCAAAUCCUAAUUUAAAUAUGAUUAAUUGGGCCACAAAAUAUGGAAAUCCUAACAAAUAAAUCACAAUGUUGAUACACAUCUUUUUGUUUGUAUUUGGUAAGGGAAAAUACUGGGUUUCUUGUGAUGAAGAAAUACUCACAAUUGAUUCUAUCUAUGAUAAUGAUUUAGAUUAUAUAUAAUUAAUUACUGUCAUUCAUCUCAUCUCAACUUUCAAUUCAAUCUGACAACUGCAAAUUUAUUAUCUAAACUCUUUCAUAUUAUCACUUGCAAUCGUGCUACUUGUUUACCGCUCUCCUUCCAACAAUUUUAAAAUUUUUGAUAUUUAAAACAAUUAUAUUUUGAAAACGGGGGAGAGAUUUAAAACAGAUGACGAUUAAAAUAUUUAUGUAGUGAUAAACAUUAU